rnacentral:lncRNA from 1 species
CCCUCUCAGCGCACGUCCCGGUUGUCGUUCCUUCUAUUUCUGCACCUUUUCUUUGGUUGACAUGGUGGUUGAUGUGGUCUCUGCCUCCUCUGUCUGACAGGGAGCCCAGGGGACCCACAGUGCCCGGCUGACUCCAUUGUGCUCCUGAGCUUGCGCCUGGCGCACAGCCCGUGCUAACGUACAGUAGAAGGAGCUGCAGAAAUUGCUAGCAAGGGAGGGAGUGCUGGAGGCUGGAAGUCCACGGUCAACACACCUGGAGAGCUCUCUUCCUGGUUCACGGACGGCACCUUCUGGCUGCGUCCUCACAUGGUGGAAGGGGCGAGGGGGCUCUCUGGGGUCUGUUUCAUUAGGGCGCUGAUCCCAUUCAUGGGGCCUCCACCCUCAUGACCUCAUCACCUCCCAAAGGUCCCGCCAACAAAUACCGUGUGUCUGAGGGUUAGGAUUUCAACACACGAGCUUUGUGGGGGCACAACACUCAGACCACCCAGGAUGUGUAUGCAGGUGGCAUAGCAGGGGCUGGAGGGUGGUCUGUCCAGUCCUACCGUGCAGCCGUCACCCACCUACCCAGCACGAGGCCCGCAGAGUGGGAC